ensembl:lncRNA
GCUAAUAUCAGGUCACUGAAGACCCUGCAGGAGAUGCUGUUGGUUUGUUCCCCUGCUGCAGAAGCAUUUGUCUCCCCUCGAAAGAUCGCUUCUUCAUCGGUUGAGUGUUGAAAAGAAUGAGAGAUGUUUCUUAGAGCGAUGGAAGAGAGUACCUGCCUGAUUGCUCCUGGCAUGUCAUGUCAAUCAUGUGUCGUUGGCAUUGAGAGUCAAAUGCCGCUAACGGGCUAUUGGCUGCCUGCAGGACCUCUGGCCUUGUAUGAGAGCGUACGACUGGGCGGAGCGGUGUCCAGCAGACAUGCACGUGUGAAACCCAAAUGGUCAGAUGUAAUAAACAUUCCCAGUGUUUUCUGGCUCGCAUAAAGGGCAUGGCGCUGGUGUUUUAUUUCAUCGGUGCCUCGGGGCAUGAAUGUGUUCACCCAGAAGGGCUUUACGAGAGGUGGAGAGGGAGGCCUGUUUUUUGUUGUUUUCUUGCAACAGGGCGCAGCAUUGAGGAGUUGCUGGAAAAACGGACGCCAUAGGGAGCGGGGAGGGAAAUUCAUGCCUCCCAUCGGCGCCGGAUGUUUUGGUAACACAACAUGGGGUCUAGGGCCUUGUGACAGAGGGCUGUUCAGGAACUCUGUUGAGCAUGCUACACUGUGAGCCGGGCAGCCACAUCUGUUUUGUUUCUAAACAAUCAAGGGGCCAGCACUGCAGGCAGCUUGAGCCCGUUAUUAAAGGCUUUUUGGGGCCUGCUGAGGGACGGCCCAGACGGAGUGAUUUAUCCACCCUUUGCUGAGUGGACGAGGAUCGAGUGUGAUGUAUACGGAGAUGGAAUUCCAAUCAGUCAACCCAAAAGGACUGAUGAAUCUAGGCUGUCUCCUUUGACAGAAACCAAGAUGCUGACUUGCAGAGCCGCUACCUUGAAGGGCAAAGGAGAUGGGUUAAACUCAUGUAAACCAGCAAGAAAAACUCUGAGCACUUCAUUGGGACUCUGGCCUGUUAAAUAAUUUGGGUGGAGCCCUCUGGAAGCUAAAUAAUUCACUGUCGCCUGAUGAAGUCUCCAGCAGGCUGGGUGUUCCAUUAGUAGACUUACGAGCCAACUGUAGUGCCAGGCGGUCCAGAGUGAUAACUGUGUGUGUGUGUGUGUGUGUGUGUGUUUGGGAGUCAUCUUGUCCUGACUCGGCCCACUUCAAUUACUUCAGCCACAGGUUCUCUGAAAAAACGAGUCCGGCCCAUUUUUUUCAUUCAGACAUGCGUCCAUCCAGCACACCUGACAUGUGACAGCCAUUUGGGCUGACAGAACUUCUCUCGUUCUGGCAGGUUUAUUUGUCAGAUCAUUGUUGACUUCAAAGGACUCCAAUGCCGGACAACUGAUGGGGAAAGGGGAAUAAAUAGAAGCAAGUCCUCAGAGUGCCGAUGAUUCCUUAUGCGAUGUGACCUAAAUAUGCAGUUUUACGUCACAAACCGCCUGCCAAAGUGAAUCGCCAAGUCCUUAUCCAGAUGGCUUCCUUCGUUGGAUGGUUUGUCCAGGAGAGGCUGGUGGAAAACGCAGGCCUACUGUUGCACUGUUGCCAGUUUAGCCCGUCUAAGCUCCCCUGGCAGAUGAGCGAUGAAACGAAUAGACAUAGAAGAUCAAACGCUGCUAAAAUCUGCUUUCCAGUAAGGCAUGAAAGCUAAAUGGGAUUUUCUGCCGAGGGAUGUUUCUAUACUUUCCAUCUCUUCCACAUUAUCGGUGAUAGUUGAUAGGCAGGGUAUGAAAUCUGAAACAAGCAUUGACCUGUCGUGAGUUACUCGGGUGUCAAUGUACGGCGAACAAAUUCCACAUAGUUUCCUUAGAAGCCGCCACAUACUAACCAUUGAUCCAUCAUUUUCUUUCUGAGAGUGGUCACUUCAGUUUGGUAACAGUUCCAGAUAACACUCAGGUUAACCUUGCCGGCAUUCCCAAGGCCUCUCUGCCUUUAUGUGCAAAGACCCUGUCAACUCUUGCCGAGUGACUGAGUGGCCAGCUUUACCUUGUGCUGCCAGCCAACCUCAUUCUUAACAUCAUCACCUUCACUUGGCCAUGUCAUGCCUCUUACAGCAGAUGGAUGUCUCCCAUCCAGGGACAGCUGGGUAAUGGCCCUCAUCCUUGGCUUCAAGAGAGGGCACAAUCACCUGUCAUUCCCAAUCUGUAUGCUGCAAGCCAGAACAAACGGACAAGACACAAGAUAAAGAGGAAGCGGGGGAGUUUCUUCGCACCAUACAGAUUGUUGAGGAAUUACUGAAGAAUGAAGAUUGUGAUUCGGAAAGCUUCUAUACCAGCACGCAUAUUUAUUUGCUAGCCCCAAUUUCACAAAAUGCACUGGGCAGUUGUACGGUACAAAAUCCCCAAUGUUGAUGCGGAUGUUAAGAGUCAUUUCAUUUUUCUAUGAACUGUAAAGGACUUAAUCACAUGAAACAGUUUCCAAAAAUGAAUAAACCAUUACAAUGUGUGAUGUGUUUGAACUAAGGAAGGGAUCGUCUAUGACAGGAGUCCACUUCGGCAUCGAACCCAAUUGCAUCAAAUCACAACUCAAUAUUACUGAUUCCAGGAUUGAUACUUUCACUCCUAUUCGAGAGGUAAAGGAAACAAGUGGCUGGUGAUGAGGAUGAAAAAAAGUAUAUAUAUAGACAUGUAUACACCCAGAUGUUAUCAGCCAUAAAAGGCAUAAAAUAAAACCCAGGAUAAACGAACAACCACCCAGAGAACUACAGUUGUACCUUUAUGUAUUUCUAGGCUUGCUGUGUAAUUUAAGGAAAUUGCUUUGGGAAUUAGUGUUUUUAGAGAAGACAUACAAACUUACCAAAAACCUAAAUAUUACAAUUUAUAUUAAUAUAUAAUCCAUGCUAAAAAAGUUUUCUUCAGUUUUUGUUUUUCGAUUGGGCUUUUUACCUCCCUUUUUCAUUUUUCAAUUUCCUCCACGCAUUUAGUUUUAAAUAACUUCUAUAAAAGGCCAGCUGAGCUCAAACAUUAAUGCUUCAACUCCGUACAAUUUGUUUCAAAACCUGAAAAAACACUAUGACUCAAUAAUGUGUAGCCUAGAUAGACAUGACAACACAACUGAGAUCAUCGUAUUUGAGCCUAUCUGAUAAAAACGCGUGUUAAAUGAUCCCUAUUUGUAUAUGGGACACGACUUCACUUCACUUCAGUUCUUUACACACUGAAACCAUACAGACCAACCUCAAGCUCAGGACCAUUGCAUUUUUUAAGUGUAGACCUCUCUGAUUAAAAUGUAACAUCUGCCAAGGUUCUGUGAAUCUUUCAUCUUCCUUCUGGACACAAGGAGAUGACUGAAAAGUAAUGUAAGCUAACGAAGCUAAGCUGUCAAGUUUCGUGUGUUUUUCCUGAUUAACCGCGGCUCUGCCCAAACUUGAAAAGAGCUUUCUCUCCGGUGGACACAAAGGACACUGUGGCCACGGCUCCUAAUCUCCCAGAGACGCAACUGGUUAUCAACCUGCUCUGUUCUUUGUCCGAUCCACCAAACCACCCUUAAGAGGAAUAAAGGAUCAAAAAAAUCAACAGUUCUCGAGUUGUCCUUUGUGUCCACCGGAGAGAAAGCUCUUUUCAAGUUUGGGCAGAGCCGCGGUUAAUCAGGAAAAACACACGAAACUUGACAGCUACAAAAAGCUCACUGAACGGUCUGCUUCCUGGUUCAUCUUCCCUACUACAUUAAAAAAAAUAAAGUAAAAACAUUAGGUCACAUGGUUAGAGAACAACAUGUAAAAAUGACAAGAAGACACUUCAGUUGCUAGAAGAAUUAUAAGGAAUAAGACUACAUAUUAUAAGCUAAGCACCAAAAAUUCUCACUACCAAUUGGUAGAAACACAAAGAACACGUUUCAGUCUUUCGUAGAACAAGAAGGAGACGAAUAAUAGUUCCCUUUGUUCAGGGUGUGGAUUGAACAACUGCUCGGUUUGUACAGUUAGUCUCAGCCAAACUUUUUUGGAUUUAAUCCCUAAUGUCUUUACGAAUAACGGUGAUGACAGCAUAUCCAUGCCUGGAGGUGCUUCCCGUUUGGAGGAUUACUUCCUAAAUCUGUUAAUCCAUUACCAGUUAGCUGUUUUCCAAACAGUCGACUACAUUCAUCUUUGCAUGUACGGCAGUCAGCUUUUUGUGAAGGGUUUGGACUCUCGAGCUGUAGGGGAAAAAUGACAGAAGUAUGAUAAAAUACAAAUAUAGGACAAAAGGAGGGAGGCAGUCUUGAUGGUAAAAUUCAUCUGCUCCUCUCUGGUUUUCAACUGUCCUGUCGAUAUUGAUGCAGUUAUUCUCUUUGUUUACUUCUCAUUUUUUGAUGCUCAUUUUUAAUCUGAGCAUAAAGGCGGAAAUGCCGCUGAUAAAAACGUUGUGAAUAGUUAAAGGAAUGUGAAACCCUUCUGAUUUUUGGCUGGAAUGGAUAAGUUGGCACUUCAAAGAAAUAUUGUGCAAACAUUGGAAAGAGAGUCAUUGAAUUACUCAACAUGCAAGUGCGUCUGUGCCACUGGAAGAACAGGAGACAAAAAUAUCAGAAGGAUCUAAACAUUUCUCAAAUCAUUACAAAACAACAUUUUUGUUAGUUGGAGGUUUGAAUGGCGCACUUCAAAUAAGGUCAUCUUGUUACUCCCUUUCCUUCGGUAGUAUGGCACACUAAUAGGAGACCAGUGCCAACAACCUCCUAUCCUAUCCUAUCCUAAUAGCUAUUGCAUGGAGAUGUGAUUUGCUUGUUACGCCCAGUAUUUGGACAUGAAAUAGUCACAAAAGGCGAUGUAUUGUUUUCAUAAACACACACACACACACACACACACACACACACACACACACACACACACACACACACACACACACACACACACAUACAAUUAAAUGCAUCCACCUCUCAGUCAGGUGUGUCCCAAAAAUACAGACAAUUUUUUUGCUUGUACGCAAAGCAAAUCGAUUGCAUUCAGUGACUGCCAACAUGGAUUGUCAUUGAUUACCCAGUUGCCAUUACCAGAUUGUUAUUCUAUUAAACACAAACCAUUUUGUAUUUUUCACUAACAUUUAACAUAUCCUGUUUUCACUUUUCCGGUCUAUUGGGUUUGUCAGUGGUGAACGAUGACUCGUCAUCCAGCACAACCGUUGCCAAGCCCUUUUCCCCUUUUUCAUCGAAUGCCACAAUCCAGCCUGAUCAUAUUCAUGACUAAGUACCACACAAAAACCCAGCUGAUACUCCCAUGAACCUAAGCUGCAAUGUCAGAUGUUACCAUUUAGCUCAAAACACAGCCUCACAGAGUAAGACUUGCUUAUUCUCAUCCACAUUAAUUACAAGGCCGUUUUCAGCUCAUGAUGUCAGGAGUGUGAAAGGAGCAAUGCUGUAAGCGUGCCAUUUUGCUGUGGUUAAUGACUAAUGAAUCAAGGAAAAUAAAUAGGCUAGAUUAUGAAAGGGAAGCGAGAGAGAGAGGGCUCAUGCUAGAAAGGAGAAGAGACAGAAAAAGAGGUGAGUUAGAGCGAUGACCGCAUUAAGAAGACGGGACAGAAAUUGAAGCUAAGUAUUGGUUAUUAUUCAGCCUGUGCUUUGCAAUGAUAACGGUUCAAUCUGUGUACACAGAGAGAUUAAAAGGGAAUGAUUUAAGCUGACAUAUAAACGAGGCAGACGGACAGAUCGACAGACUUAAAGACGGCCAACAAGAAAUAUUAAAUUUAUAUUCUGACUACUUUACUUGUAAUUUAAUGUUAUCAGUUUUUUAGACUUAGGUAGAAUGGCCUGACAAAUGAUACUGAUACUGAAUGUAACCAUGAAGCACUGAAUGGAAAAAAGUCAUUAAGACUUACUACUGGUGUAGCAUGUGCUGACAUUUGUUUCACAGAUGUGGACAGGAGCGAAGGCUUGCUCUUGCACAAAUCAUGCAAACAUCAUGAGUCAUGUGCUGUUACACAACAGCUAAAGCAUUUUCUUUUCUGCAGCUAAAACAAUAUGUUUCAGUGAAAGAGUGACACAUAGAUUGUAAUCUAUAUCUGAGGCUCUCCAGCCUUCACUCAAGGCAUGGUUGUGUUGGAAAAGACCACCUAUCAAAAUAAAAUCAUGAGUGAAAAAAUACAUUGGGUUGUAAAUAUAUGUUAUGACCUAAAUAAAUACUCUGCUCAGCCUCAACCAUCCCCGCUGGCCAUGAGCUCAGAUCUGUUGUAUUUAGGGGUUUAUUUCUUCACCAUAUAGUUUGAAUCUUUUUUUUGUGCCCUUGCAUCUGUAGGAACAUUAGCCAGCUUACAGCAGCAAAACACAUCUGUACCUGAUGGCGUUUUGGUUCAUCUUAGAAUAUUGCCAUUUUUCUGUAAACAAUUUAGGUACUACAUUAGAAAUGCAGAGUGACGUAGAGAUGCCCUAUACGGCUCUGGUAGGGACAGUGACCUGUCAAUUAUAGUAGCUCUGCCCUAAAGCAUACGCUUUAUGGUCUAUUUGACCUCCAAUUGGGCCCUAAUUUACCUAAUGCACAUGAUUUUUGAUGAAAACGUGAAACUAAAAUUGAGGCCAUAAACUAACAGUUAAUGAAUCAGUUAGUUAAUUUUCUUCAGACUUCUUUGUGCAACUAAAAAAAGAGUAGUUGUCCCCUGUUGUGUUUUAAGACCACUUAGGCUUCACUCUGGAGAACCAGGUUGAGGUGGUUAAGAAUAGCUGAUCUAGUCCUUUCUUUGGAUUCACAAAGGUGCAGGGAGAACAUGUAUCCCUCCCUUACUUAACGAACAUAUAAAUUCCCAACCCAUGUAGCAGUAGAAUGUGGAGAUGUUUCUCAUCAAUGCAGAACUCUACAGACCUUCGGGCGUUUUUCUACUGUAUUAAAUAUCUCCACAAUGAGGCUAUUUUGUUCGUGUUUGUUUUAUUUUGAUCCCUCACAGCUAGCCAAUGCUGGGAGCCCAUCUCUCAUACAGAAGCGAACACCACUGGCGCAAAACAGAGGAGCGGAGGAGAUCAAAGAUAUCCGCAAAAAACAAAGAUUAAGCAGCAAACAGAAGGGGUGUGUGUGAAAAGAGAGACAAUCUGUUGCCAACUCCUGAUUAAUCCCUCAGUUAUGUCUUUGAUUUAUCGUUGUUCUUGGAAUUGCCAGAAAAAAGCAGCACACAGCUUCCUGGGAAUUAAAAUCUGUAAAAAAAAAUAGGAAUCGGACACUGGACCGUGUCUUUUAAAAUGUUGGAACUACAACAGUUUUUGGGGACACUUUUUUUGAUUAUUUACUUAAAUUAGGGAUCAAUCAAUUAUUAAAACAGUUUUGACGGGAAUGAAUGUCCUUUGCUUUACUGAACAUGCCGCCACUGCUUUCUUCUUAAACAAAAACCUCUCCCCCCCUGUCUCUUCUUCUUUCCGCCAUCCCCUCUCAUCACCACAUCUAACUUCCAUCCGUCAGUACGGGACAGUAAAUGUUUGAUUUCCCCACAAAUGUAGAGCAGAGAUUUGGGGAACUGACAUCCGCCUCCCUGUGUGGCAAAACGCCCCCUGAGGAGCUGCACUUGCAAGUGCCAGAAUCAAAUACAUGAGAUAUUAUUGAGAUGAGACGGGGGAGGUGGGGGUAUUAUAAAAAGAAAUGACAUCUCGCUAAGGCUCUUAGGGAGGAGCAAGGAUAAUUAGCAGUCAUAGAAAUCCAGGGAGUGUCUGUCACAGUGAUGUGUGUGGAGCUACCCUGCACUGUCUUGUGCUCUGGGUGGUUUUAGAAGAAUAAAACCACUGCAUGCACCCUUCAAACCUCCUUUCUGCCAACAUGUUGAAAAGCAUGCAUACUUGACGUGACGCCUGACGUGUGCGUUUCUCCUUUCGCGUAAAGGAAUUCAUCUCUUCUUCUCCUACCCUGUUGUGUUUGUAUCAGCUGCUAAUGCGUGGCGACCCCACGUCCAACAGCGGUGAGUUGUUUCUUACGGCAAAACUUUUAUUUCUCACAUUUCUACCUGAAAAAAAUACAUAUCUUAUUUGAUUUCUGCCGUUUCUGUUGUCAAGGGCAAAUUCCAAGGGGCAUAGAACAGAUGGAUGGACAUCAUGACAUUCAAAUACAUGGCCUGACAAAAACGUCAUGUUGGACAAUUUGGCAAAGUUGGGUUAAAGAUACUUAAUUUGAAAUUCAGUCAAUAUCUUGUGCCUCAACUGCAAUUCCACAGAUAGAGCUAAAACAUGUUUAACAGCAGGGGAACUGGAUAAUUGGUGCUACGCUUACAUACAGUUGUAUAAACUAAAACCGCUAUAUGAAUGAGCUAUCCGAUUCCCCAAUAUGGAUUUAUUUGAGUUUGCGUAUUAUCUUUUCAUGCAAAAACAAAGAAAUGUGUUGGAGCUGGCCCUAUAUAAGAGAAGUACAAAGCGGGGAGGAGAGCUAGCCAGUGGUACAUACUUUCAAGCACCAAAUCAGUCGAUAAACUCCGGUUCGGCAAAGCAAAGUCAUUGUGGAGGUGUCUCAACGGGCAUUCUUUCUAAUGGCCACAAGGGGGCGACUACUCUGGCUGCAAAAAGAGCUUGUGAAGAAGAGAAAAUGGCUCUACUUCGCACUAAAUCACAUCGGUUUGUGAACACUUAUGUUUAGGUCUCAAGUUUGGCUUUCAAGUAUUCUUUAAAACCGCAUCAUGUUAUUUUAGUAAUUUAGGGUAACUUCGUUGCCCUCUCUACGUUACUUCUCCAGAGGACAAAUAUGGUUGUUUCAAUUCACAGGUUGCAUAAUUCCGACAGCUGUGAUACAGAAUUGUGACGCCGAAAACUUCAAACUCAACAUAUCGAAAUGAAAGGGUGAUGUCACCAUUACUUAGGCAACCUCUUAUACACAGUCAAUGCUCAAAAUGGAUGCAUGCCAGAACAGCCAAUGUCAACAAUCGGACUGCUCAGAUAGCCAUUACUCCAUUUUAUCUCAGCACAUAGCUGCUUUGCUAAUUCUCCAAGCUCCAUUUAUAGAGCCUUUCACAAAAUAGACAACAGUUAACAUAUGGGCAUUUUGAAGAGUAGGAUCAAAGCAAUUUAACCUCCUACACGAUACCUUACUCAUACACAUGUAUCAACGCAAAGCUGUUUUAGCAAUUCAGUGAAUGGCUGGUCUUUUAAUCCAACGGAAACCACCAGUGUAAACAAAUGUGAUUUGGCUUCAAAUCCAGAUUUUAGUUUACUGAAGUAGUGGUCUGUUGCCAAUGUUGUGUUAACUUUAAUUAAAUGUUUUACUAUUUUGAAAGCCUAUAGAUAAAAUGCCCCCUUUCUUUAAGUGUUAACAGGGCCUGUAUAUUAACACGAUGCUGACAUAGCUCUCUUCCUAAAACAGCAUCAAGAUCAACUGCACAGAGUUCAUAACAGUCAUAUUAAAUUAUUCUAGGGACAUAAAGCCAAAGAAAUUCAAAGACAAAUGUUCACAGCGCCCUGAAAGUUUGUACUCUCGAAUGUGUUCACAGUCCUAUUGCUCAACUUUCCCCACAUGCCAUAAUUUACUUAUAGGAACCCUAAAAGAGUUGUCAAGCUAAAUAAAGGUUCGGACAUUGUUAGUAAUUUAAGUUUGAGAUUACUCUAUUUGUACAAAUGUAUCAAAAACAAAUCCAAAAGCUAUUUUGCUAAUAAUUGAAUUUCCCUGAAAAACUGAAUCCAUUAUUUCUCGAGAAAAUAAUGUCCAAUUUUAUAGAGAUGCGAAUUAUGGCUUGGGGAGAAAAUCUUUCCUUCAAAACCAUUUCCAUCAGUCAUAAUCAGGAGCUUGUUGAAAAAAUUGACUUUUUUGAGAGGCUUUUAGACUAAUUUAAGAAAAAACAACAAACAUGUUACAAGAAAUUAAUAAAAAAAAAACUUCAAUGUUUUAUAUAUGCAUCUUUUUUUCAUCUGAAACUAUUAUAUGAUCACAUCAGCCUUGUUACAGCUCGUCAAAGAGAAACUUAAAUGUUUUGUGUACCUUCAAAUGUUUAACUACAACAUUCACAUUGCUGCAGUGAUGGCGACGUGUACUCCAGGAUGUCAGUACAGCGGGAUAUCACUGCUCUGCUUAUUUUCAACUAUGAACUAAUUGAUUUGAUAUUUGAUUUUGUGUUAUGCAUUAAGACACUGACUUAUACUCUUCACUGUUUACUACGAGUAUUAAUGAGAAAAGAUGAAAAGCUGAUACUUCACUUCAAGCAUUAAUUUGAAUGAAGACGCCAUAUUAGGAAGAACCUCUUUUCCAUCAUUCCUCUGAGGCUGUGGAUAAGAAUAAUGUCGCAUUCACCAGGAUUAAUCACACUGGCGGACAAGAAAAGAGCGGCGCAAAACACCCCCAUGGUUCAGUCAGUGAUAGAUGACUUCACGGAUAAAUUAGACAAGAAUGUAACUAAUGUGCGUGGAAUUGACAAUGAACCAGUGUGCUAUAAAAAGAUCCAUCGGGAUAAAGUCAUACGGCGUUCACCCUUCCUGUGAUCAUAAUAUUCAUGCUUUUGAAUCUUCCUCUGGUGUUGAACGCUGUUGUUUUUCAUAAGCCUUGCUCUUGACGGGAGCUUCUUUCACUUUGGUUUGUAUUGACUUCGGGCGUCUAAAUGGACGGAAAAAGGGUUCUGUGGUUUUCACAGAGUAAAAGAAGGGGUGUGUGAGUACUGUCUGUCUGAAAGCCAGGGGUAAAAAACAACAACAAGAGGCUCUCUUUAUAAAACAGAAUUACAGAAAAAGUAGUUGUGUAAAAAAGAUCAGACUUUUGCGUUGUGUUUUCAAAAAGGGACAGAGAUACAAUUGUUUCACAGAUGAGAAAACCUCCUCCCUGUGCUCUCAUGCUCCCCUUCUUUUUGUACCGAUGCUUAUUAUGUGUAAAGAAGCCUCUGGCAUUGAGCUCUCUGUGUGGCAGCGUUCGGUUCAGGAAUAACAGAAUCCAACAAAAACAGAAAAAAGAUUCCACAUAGGAAGGCAGUCAGGCCACUGCAACCCACUCGGAAAACAGCUGGAACCUCUGGGAAGGCUGUUCUUUGAUAAACAUUGAUGUUUGUAGAUCCGUGCUCUCGUGUUGUUAGUUCUGCUGCACAGAGAGGAUAUGCCCAUCACUUCAGACCCCCCCCCCCCCCCCCCCCCACCUCUUACAUGCACCAUCUUUCAUUUUCUCUGCUUUACCGCCUCCCCCUGUUCACUUCUAGUGUCAACAAAAGAUUUGCUACUUUGUGGUGCUAAUGAGUCCUUCCUUCUGCAAGUGCAAACACAGGAUGACGGACACUGCAGACGCGUAAACAGAGACAAAUCUUCUGAUUAUGAUGAGAGUGUCCUCUUAUUGACACAUGAAGAGGUGGAUCCGUGCUCAAACGAGCACCGAUUACAAUAGCAGUGAAGUCAAUCAGAAGCCAAACGUUAACAGAUGCGGCCGCCGCAAAAUUCAGUGGCGUCUUUCCGCUGAACUGUCUGUUUUAAUGUGACUCUUAACUCAAACACCUGGUUUCAUCAGCUUGUAUAGGAACCCUAAACAGAAGGAGGUCAGAUUGGGGCUAGCAUGUUAUUUGUAGCAAUAAUACAUUCACAGGAAAAUACUACUACUAAUACUAUGCUUAGACAAAUCCUGGCACGACCAAGUCUGACAGGUGCGACAGGAAAAGCAGGAAAGCACAACAGUGCCAAGACCUGUUUAAACUGAUUGCUAUCAACUCUACAGAACGCAAAAAUGAUGGUAGAAGGCCAACAAAGAGAAAACCCACAACAACGUCAAUUUCUGUGAUGAGGUGACCGAUCCUGCUUGGAAGAUAUUUUGAUGAAAAAAAAAGGAAUUCUGUCUCUCACUCAAGAAACAAAAAGUUUCUUUUUUGUAACUUGUUGUUUCAGUCAGACAUUGACUUCUUACCUCCUCCUCCUCCUCCUCUCCCCACGUCUAUCACUCUAUGUUUUCUUAACCAUUCGUUUCCUCGCUGCGCGGUUCUUUCCAGCACACAUGUGGUUAAUGGGAUGAUGGUGAGCAGACGUCUCAGUGCAGAAGCGGGACCGAGGGGGGGAGGGGAGGGGGGUGCGCAAGUCUCAGUCGACUUAAAUAACCAAAUAAUUGGAAUUUCUAAAAACAAUGGUUUCCUGACUUCUCCACGACCCCUCACCUUAUCAUUCAAGGGUCGUGGAGGCCUAAACUUGAACCCAUCUUACUCCAGAACAUUUGGCUGGCUGCCACCUCAGGUUAACCCCACAGCCAGCGGCCCGAGUUACAGGGGCCCCGUCAGUCCCACUCAGCGGACGUGCUGGGAUAAGCCCUCCCACUGGACUGCUGUUGCCUUUGGCUUCCUUCCGCUCCUGCUCUUUGCUGUGGUUUUCGGACAGCGGACAUUUGCGCGGAGAUAAAAAGCUAAAUACUAAUGAUGGGUAACUGCAGGAAACUUUGCACCUCCCCCAAUACAACUAGAUUAACAACCGGUGAGCAAUGCACACUGUCGGCACCCAUCAUUGGAAAACACAAAAGGACCCCUAACGGAGUAAAGUCUAAUAACAUCAGCAUGCAAGCCUGUGGCUCCAGCUCGGUACCAGGGAAACAGCAGCGAGUUACCUUGGUUACAGAUCUCUUUCACUAUCUCCAUCUAACGACCUGCUGUCUUAAAAUGGGGGCUGAGAGUUGUUAUGGCAAAAUUUUAAUGGAUUUUGGGUCGAGUAGUUUGAAUUUGAAAGAAAUGAAGGACAUCCUUCUGCCUUGCAAUGAUUGUGAUUUAACAUGUGUAUAGUUUUGUGUUUUCAUUCAGCUUUAGGUUAUAUGAGCAGUCAGAGGGUAUUACUAACAGAACACACUCAAAGAUGAAUAAUACAACUUGCAAAUCAAUGUGAAUUCAUUUGGACCGAGUACCAGCAGGAUGGACAAGAUUGUUGCAAGGUGAAAAAAAGGUACCGUUCAGUGGAAACAACAGUGAGUACUGAGGUAGGCCAACUUGCUUACAGUGAAGGACAAACGUAACAGAACAAUCUUAAUCGUAUAAAGUGACAGAUGCUAAAUCCCUGAAUAUAUGUGACCAUUGCUGUGCCCACACUUGUUUAAAAAUUAGGUGCACUGCGGUGCAUUCUACUUAAGAUAGAAAGCAAUAUUUCACAAUUUCUGCCUCUUUAGGCAAGUAAUAUUUUGAGUGGAGCAGUAUUUAAUUCAUUUAAAUUAAAUUUAGGAGCAUCACAUGAAGAAAAGCAAUUCACAUCAAUGCACACAGUAAACCAGUGUAUUAUUAAAUGUUAAAUUUAUCAGUGUUCCACAGUUAGUUUCAGAGAAAAUUAAUUUUCUGAAGCCUGUGGGCCAUUCCGGACUCGAAACAUUGAUUUUCCAUUAAAGAUCAUGUUGCCAAUUUCUGGUGUACAAUCAAAGGUUUGUCAAACCCCUGGCGUAUAAGGUUCAGUCAUUCAGGGAGAGAAGAUGCAAUGUUUCUUCUGUUUGCACCGUCUAAACUCUUUUUUGAAAUAAUAGUGAAUGAAAUGAUGAGACCAAAUAUGAAUAAUCUGAAGACAUUAACAGCUCGAUUAGGAUCAGAAUACAUCACAGAAUAUCCCCUGCAGAACUGCCAAACACCCUGCCGCUGACUGCUCCCUUUGCCAUGUGUUGGGCUUUACUCAGUUAAAGAAGACAUUUUAGUUUUACAUUUUUUAAUUUUCUCUCCUUCUUGAUUUUUCCCUUUAUAACUGUAUUAUUCUCUUUGAUGUUAAAAUGAAAAAGGAGCACAUUACUUAAUUAUUCUACAGAGAACAAACCUUUGAUUUUAGCUCUUCAUCAAGCAAAGGUUGUCAUUUUUUGCUUAAAGUCACAGAGAGAAUUUUAAUACCUUAAUCAAAUUAAUUGGACUUCAAUCAUAAGUCGGGUUUGCUGAAGAAUGCAUUAUAUGGGGAACAGAAUGCAUGUGGGGCUAGGCAUAUUUUCUAUCUCCAAGCAAGUGUUUUUACCAUAUUUAUUCAGGCUCUCUUUUUUGGAAUGACAAAAUCAUUUUCUAGCAAACUGAACCUCCAUCCUCUGUGCAGCCUGUUGAAAAGGCUGCAUGGCACAACGUCAUCUCUGAAAAGGGUUUUAAAAAGCACCGCCAUUCAGAAAUUGGAUCUCCCAUUUGUAGCUCAUAGUUAUCACAUUUUAUAGAAGAUUAUAUUCAAUUUUUUUUGUGGACAAAGGUUUGUUCUGAAUUUUAAUUCUGUAAAUCUUCACUGAUUUUUAUGAGUCAGUUUUCUAUUUUUGUACCAAUAGAUUCGAUAGAACAACAAGACACUGCAAUAGAUGCUGGAAGCGUUUGGCUGCAGACCGUGCCAACAACAUGCAACCUGUCAAAUUGUGACUCAAAAGAAUAAGAUCUAGGAUGUUGUCAACACCUCUAGGUGAAAACAAUAUGUGUGAAAUGUAGUCCAAAGGUCUAAAUCAGCACAAAGCUGUGCUUUGACAUUACCUUAAACAGAUGGAAAACACAGAUAGUACCUCAUUACCGCUGCUCAGAGAACACCACUUUCCACUCGAGAGCCGCUUCUGUGUGCGAGACAAAGAGGGGUUUGUGUACAGAGCCGCCCCCGCUCCCACAGACUAGCUGACGUGGAAGCUCUACCUGUCUCCACACUUCCUGACUCGUGCAAAAUGCUGCUUUUUACCUUCAUGAUGGGACUGGUCCUGGAUCAACUUGAGGUAAUAUGUGAUUAAUGUACCCGGAGGGCCUCAUGCGAGGGACUUCUCUCUAAUUAAAAGGCUUGAGCUGAAUACCGGCUCUGGCUCCUGGCUAUGUGGUGGAGGAAAAAGGGUUGAGGGGCAUGAAUUCACAUGUAUUCUUGGACGCACAUCCAUAUAUCAUAAACACAAGCCCGCGAAUGAGAAGAUCACAUGUAUGUACACGCACAAGCAUAAAUGUACAGUAUACGGUAAUAAAAACAGGGGGAGGGAGGGGAAGCUUCAAUCUCCACAGCUUUCCGAGAAAACAAGAAAAGCCUCUUUGUUUUUCAGUUCGACAGCCGUGCAUUUGGAUUUUAACCACGGUUGGCGGCUUUUACAUUUGAACCAGCAUUUAUACAGAAGCACACACACCGAAGAAACAGAAACAUAACGGCAGCCUUUAAAAUCUAUACUUUUACUGAUGAGAGGCCGAGACCCUGCCCGGGAUCCGUUUGACAGACAGCUGAGUUGGCCGGCAAGAAUAUUGCACGGGUGGAAAUACUCUUUUGCGUCAUAGCAUUUGCCUCAAGUCAUUAUUAUGAAGACGAAAGGCACAAUGGUUGGCGGUGUGUUUCUGCUCUGGGGCCGUGUUAUUAAACAUCAUUAGACAAGCAAAUGUGACGGGCGAUGAGGAAGACAGCGCACCAAAGCCCACCCGAAAAGGAGUCCUUCAAAAUCCCAUCUCAAUUCACUUUUUAUUUAUCUGUCCGCUCAACUUCGAAUCCAAUUCCAGCAGCAGUAUUAAGCUGUCAGUUAUGAGUGUGGCGCCACAGACUCGGAGGGAGACAGACUGUGGGUGAAUAUGUCAUCAGGCCUAUAGCUGGGAAUGGAAACAUGAACAUUUAACAAUAAGCCACUUGCAAUUUUGUUUUAUGGCGCUCCCGUAUUUAUACUUUUCCCACAUGCCCCUGGCUUUUAAGUCACUGUUGUAAUUUUUCAAAAAAAUACUCUGUUCUUUGCUGGGAAGGAGCCGCUUCCCAUCGGCUUGCUCCUCUCUGCUGUCAGUAGCAGUUAAGGAUUAACAGAAGCAUAUUGCCAGGCCAUCGACGAUGCAGAAGACAGAAAAUAGAGACCAUUUGGUCGCCUUAUAUUCCCACAUGGAGUCAUAAUCAGAAGACAGGGGCAGGUCUGUUCCGGUUUGGGGAGAUCACAUUUCCCCCAUUUAUACAUGUUUAACCCGGUUUCUGUGAAAGUAGUGAACGACUUUAUACACUAGAAUUAAAAGAAUACAAAAUGAAAAAAAAAAUGUUGUGCUUCAUGUUACCAAGGACAGAGAGGCAGAAAUGACUAAACCAUAUGAAAGGAUGUUUUUCUUUUCAUCAAAAUGUAUUAUUACUAAUAUUAUAACCAAGUCGCGCUCCUUUGGCGUUAUUCAUGACGAACAGGACACUUCCUUGACCACCAGACGUCACUUUUCAAAUUGUGAACAGUAUUUUGUCCUUUUGGACAUUUGAAUAAGUGAUUUUAUUUCUCUAGAAAGAGUGGCAAAUGGACCACUUAAAGCUAUGCUAAGCUAGCUGGAAGAGUUGCUAGUUCAACAUGUUACACCCGGUGAAAUUCUGCCUCCAAGAUGAUCAAAAGAUGAUCACCUUCUUGAUUUAUCCUUUUAUAACUUUAUUAUUCUCUUUGAUGUUAAAAUAAAAAAAGGAGCACAUUACUUCAUUAUUCUACACAGAACAAACUCUCUUUUUUGGAAUGACAAAAUCGUUUUCUAGCAAACUGAACCUCCUUCCUCGGUGCAGCCUGUGCAGCCAUGUGCUACAUGGCACAACGUCACAAUCUUCAAAAAGGGUUUUAAAAAGCACCGCCAUUCAGAAAUUGGAUCUCCCAUUUGUAGCUCAUAGUUAUCACAUUUUAGAGAAGAUUAUAUACAUUUUUUUUGUGGCCAAAGGUAUGUUCUGAAUUUUACUGACUUUUAUGAGUCAGUUUUCCAUUUUUGUGCCACUAGAUUCGAUAAAAUAACAUUAACAAUUAAACAGUGUCUAAAAUACAUGUUUUCAAAAGUGAUUACUCAGUACUUAAACGUACGUAAAUUUUAAUCUUUAGAACGAAAAAAAAUCAUUCAUUUAAACAUUCAUUUAUCGCCAUUAGAGAUUAAUUAAUUUAAAUAUGUGCAAUUAAUUAGUUUUAAAAAAAUGUUUAAUAAAUGUACAUAAGAUAUCAACAUACCUGAUCCCGAACUUCUCCUUUGAUUAAGGAUUAAAAGUUUGAGUUUUCAUUACCAUACGUGGAUAAAGAAUCACCCUGUAGGUCAAUAUGCCAACAGGUCUGGUCAUGAAUAUGGCAAUGGUUGGACAUAUUUGAGCGAGACAGUUUGUUCUUCAAUUGGUAAAGAGGGACAUCUUGUGGCUAUUUAGCAUAGUAUGUGAGCGCAUGACAUGUCAUCUAAUGUAAUGUAAUGCCGACAUAAAGUGGACCUAAAUAACAUGCUUAAAUAACAGCUCCACACAAACAGCUGCCCUCUACAGGUGGACACCUGGAGCCAUCUCACCGGACGGCUGUGAUAAAUGUGUCCUUGAUUCAUUCACAGCAUCUCAGGCCUUUCCUCCAGCUACAGGCUGUCCAUUGCAUCAUUUGUUCAUAAGAGGGACAGACAGCCGGACAUCUGAUGAUAGACUUGCGCCCUCUCAUGGGCGAAACAUGCACUUCUUCUUACAUUUUUUAUUUUUCACAAGUAGGCACUGCAGACGUUUUAAUGCACGGAGGAUUGAAUGCUGCGGAUGUGAAAAGGGAUGCAGCCAUAGAAGUGUGUCACUUUCCCUACUGGCCAUCUCUGGGUAACCUUCUUUCUCUCUAUAUUCAUUACCUCACUAAAGGAUGUAAACAUGAUUACACACACACACACACCCACACAAAUGGCGCUAUUGCACAUAUCCAAACUAAUCAACAUACCAUUUAUAGCAGAAUGCUGUUUGAUAUAAGUCCCAAUUUCCUAAAAAACUUGAAUUAUUUGGUUAAUCUUUCCCAAGGUAAUGAAAUGAUCUAACAUUGAAAAUGUAAUAUAUGGUUGUAGUCUUGCGGAUUUUGAAGAGUGGAUUGACGAUUUACCAUUUUAAAGUUACGACAGUGGAAAUAAUAUGACUUCUUUCUUGUCUCUCAUAUGUAAUUUCCUCACCCCGCGCUUGAACAGGAAGUUGAGCCAUAUUGACAGCCUUAUGUCAGCUCUUAUUUCUCCCCUGAGAGUCGAGGAGGGAUGUCGGAGGAGUCAUGGGUCGCCUGGCAGGCAAGUGUUUUACCAGCCGCCCCCCCCCCCCUGAUCGUUACAAUGAUGGAAACACUGAGUAGACACUUAUCACAUAAUUUAUCGUUUCCAUUCAAUCACAUGAGGCUGCCGUCUGAUUUGACUAGUUAGUCAAACAGCCAAACAUUGAGCCUAAUAAAUUAAUAUGUUAAAAAACAACCUUAAUCAUACCCAGGGUUAUCUAAUAAGUACGUCAUAAUCAGAAUUUCCAAACAUAUGGACGCAAAUUAUGCAGGUAACAGCCCAUGGAGAGAACACUUUGGUAGUGAUGAAAAAUGUGUGUCUUUAUAACUUAAUAUUAUUGAGUACAGCUUGAGAUCAGCUGUGAUCUCUGUGAUCAGCCGCUACAAUCAUCAUAAACUGAUGUUGCUUUCUGUAACAGGAAGCAAGUGAGGGAAACAAGGUGCAAAUCAGACACCUGGGAUGUGAAUGUUGAAAGGACUGUAUACUUGUUUAGCACUUUGAGUGGUGAGUGCUUUUACAUCAGUGAUGUUAUUAUUCAUACAUUUGAUGCCAGGGGCUCCCGUACACAGCAGCACCUGCCCAUCAUUGACUAACAUUCACACACCGUGAUCACAGCUACGCGAGCUAUGGGUGCGUCUUGCCCAAGGACACAUCGACAUGGACUCUAGCUGAGCCGAGUAUCGAACCGCCAAUCAUCUGAUUGAUGGCGGAUUCUGCACCGGUCUGAGCCACAUCGCCACCCUUUGUGUUCAUACAUGAGCUUCAAGAUUUCAGAAUUGUUUCCAUAGUUACAUUUUUCUCUCUAUGUUUACAAUGGAAAAAAUGCUGUAAUGCAGCAUUUUUUCUAUAAUCGUCACCACAGACAGACAGGUACAGAUACUGCUACUGGGCUAUGAAGGAGGGUAUUAAAGAAUAGUGACCAACUUAUGAGCUGUAAAAACAUAUUAGAUGAAUCUGUAAUGACAAGUUCCUCAAACAACCUUUCUCAUUUCAAUAACAAAGGCCGGUUUCUUGCCUUUGUCAUUGGCUUACACAUACACUGAAACUCGUUAUACAAUAUUGGCAUAACACACAUAAGGAAGGUGAAAAUGUUAUGCAAAAAUCAUUAUUAAAUACUAGCCAGCACAAAUGCAUCUACCCGAGCCCUGAUUACUGUUGACUAAGUGCAGCAUGGGAAGGACCCUAGUCAAUCACGUCAUUCAGGAAGACUUCACAAGGAUGCUUUGUCACAAGCUCUUGGCCUGUAACAGGAAAUGUCGUUCUCUGAUGUUGACAGUGUCCACACACAGCUCUCAUUUUAACAUUUUCAUUUUUAGUUGUGAGAAGCAGCAAUAAGCCACUCAAGGAUAAAUACUGAACAUGUAACCUCGGGGGACACCGCUGUAAUAACAGACUUGGUAAAUGGGAUCACUGUAAUUUUCUCAAGAUCUAUGGUACAACAACGGCUGAACCGCUGAACUUUCCAACACUAUUUCAAUGUUGCCUUUCUUAGUAAUUUGCCUUUGUUUUAAUAUGCCUUCAACCUUUUUAAUGACUGUAUUUAAUUAGGUGUUCUAAACUUUCACACUGCUGAAACCGCUGAACAGGUUUUCAUUGUUCUAAGCACAUUGGCAAUAACAUACUAUGGCUUUGUUUGGACGUUUGAAAAUAUUUUAUGGUUAUUCUACCAAUAAGUUUUUUUUCUACGUUUUUUUAACUGUUUUAUGUUCCUUCUGUAUAAUAUAAUUAAAUCACAAAGAUAAGCUGGAUAACGCUGAAUAAAACACACAAUGUAGAAAAAAAUCAAUGUGCAAACACUGACAAACGGAAAAAAGAGAUAAGAAAAUACAAACCAUUUAAUCAUGGACAUUCACGCAAUAACAGAGUGUAAACAAUAACAGAGUGUAAACAUUCACUUCACUCUUCACCAAACAUUCCGAUUAUAAAGAUAAAUACUAUAACCACACACUGCUGACAUAAUAAUGUGAAAAACAAUCCCACGAAAUGCAUGCUUUUAAAACACAUGUUGGCCGAUCGGCUUGGAUUGUUUCAUGGUUUUUAAAAAGCGUAAAGGUUGUUAUGUAACCUCGAUACUCUGAAUCAGUUCUGAUGAGAUCAGAGAUGCUUCUUCUGUCAAUGUCGGGCAAAGGGCAAAUACAAGCACAAUCAAAACCUCAAACAGGAAACUCAGUGAAUUGUGAAGCUACAUUCAUCAUCUUCCUUUGUGAACAAUCAAUGAAAGUGUUAGCUGCAACGUGAAAGGGGGUCACUUGCAGCUAUGAUUAUUAUCAGUCAGUUCAGUUUAUUUUGUAACCAUGACGACAAAGGUCUCAUCCUAGUCCAAAAUGGUCUUUCUCUCAACAUUUAUUUUUUCGUUCCUCAUCUUAAUCAACCUAUAGCUUCGUUACAUAAUAAUUUGAUUUUUAAAUAUUUGGUUUAGGCUUUUCGUUCAUAUUUGAAGGACUAGGUUGGUACAUGAAUAAUUCUGCCAAUCAGGGAUUUGACUGAUUCUAAAAAUAAAGAUGCAGUAAUAUAUCAUGGCAUUGGAUUUGUCAUCAUCUUCCUACAGCUACUGGUCAAAGUUCUAAGCUAAGACCCGCCCCCUGUUGCUAGUCCGACAAGGAAGUAUCCAUUUGAAGGAUAUAUUCACUAGUCGAAAUAAUAUUAAAUGCAACUGAUUUGAGAAACAUUUGAAUACAACUUACAGAGUGGGCUGAAUUUUAAAGUUAGACAGAGACACAUAUUUCCUGUUUUUAGAAAUGAUUUUGGAAAUGCCCUUGAAAACAAAAUUAGACAGUUAAAAAUGGUCUUGGUGUGGUUGGGCGUUGGAGUGCAUAGGUGGGCUUUUUUUAAUGAAAAGAGGCACAAGAGUGGAGAUAAGAGUUUUGGGGUUGGUUGCAUUGGGCAGAUUACCCUCACACCUCUGAGCCUCAACUUUUAAACAGUUUGUGAUUGUGACAGAAGAUGAAUAACACCGCUGUAUGGCAGCAAGAAAUCAAAAAAGCUCUGGUAGGAGAGUUUAUUCUUAAGCACACACAACAAAUGUUUAGGAAUAAUAAUUUCCAGAGGUCCGAACCGAGAUUGUUUGACAUUUCAGCGCACCCAGUGUUCUGGAGGAUUUAUUGUAGUAUUGAUUGGCACGUGCUGCGAAAUCAUAUUGUUGUGCAAAUGGAAAGACGGGCUAGUUGAUUAUGUUAACAAACUCAUUUGUCUAUAAAAAAUAUUGACUGAUGCCUCCUGGUUUGAUGUGAAUUAAUUCUCUGUCAUCCCACAGAGGCAGCGGCGGCAUUUCACUCGUCAAUUCUACUCUGCCUGGAAUGCCAAGAGGCUGAAAUCAAGAGUUUUGGGCCAUUUGAUGAAGACUACACAUUGGAGGAGGGAGGUGAGACUAGGGCUGUGCGGUAUGGCCAAAAAUCCAUAUCACAGUAUUUAGAAAGAUCUAACGGAACUUACGUUGGAUUUUUCAUAACCAAAAACCCUCCAAACAGACACAGCUCCUCUCUUGUGCACAAGUUGUGUUGGUGCAUCUGUUGUCUCUGUUGUUCCGCCUGUAUCACUCUUUUCCGUGUUUUUCUGCAACGUCAGUUGUUAUGGUGUAACACCGGUAUGAACGGUACUUCUCACGUACGGAAAUGAAACCGGUAUACCGUGCAGCCCUAGGUGGGACACAGACAUCUUAACGUAACGAUUAAUUAUCCUUCUCUUCAGAACCAGUUAAUGAAAUACACAUUGAUAUUAAACCAGGAUCCAAUUCUGAAUGCCAAUUAGAGAAGGAAACAUUCUUAGAGGUUAAAAAAGUUAGAAAAAGCAACGCUUAAAGAAAGUUCUGUACCUGCCGCCACAGCAGAUGGCAAUGUUGUGCCAUCUCUGCUGUGGGAGGGCAUGACAGUGAGAGUUUAGAAAAACAGCAGGCAGUAGAUGGCAGUCGGGCUCCCCUACACUGUGGGCAUGGCUUAUUUGUUGUGAAGACAGUCCAGGAAUGAGGGAGGGGGGUAGAGGUGGGGGGCUUGACUCCAUCUCCAGAAACACAGGAAGGCAGCGGCGGCAGGAGAAUGAUGUCACGUUAAGAGAUGGCAUACUUGCCAAGUUCCUGGCUCGGACUAGGAAGGGAGUGAGAGAGGGGGAUUUGGCUGGGGGGGGGUUGAAUCGGGAGUGAGGGGCUGGAGGUCGGACAGAAGGGCAGAGCGCGUGAACGACAGGGAUUAAAGGGGCUGGAGCACAUGAGACAGAGGGGACGUCUGCAGAGGGCCGCUUUCAUACCAAUCAGGAUUGUGUGUGGGUGGGCGAGAGGGGGGGGGGGGGAGGCUUCACUUGGCAGAGUUGUGGGCCCCCUGCCUCGGACCACUUUAUCCACAGGCUUACAUGGGAACUCAAUUUAAUUGCAAUAUUAAUGCCCUUGAUUACAUCUUUUCUUUGCAUGCUUGAUUCCCCCCCCACUCAUCUCUCUCUCCCCUUAUGCCACCCCGUCACUCACUGUGUGAUCUACAGUCGAUGAUGUGCAUACUAAUGCUCGUCUCAUGUACAUUAAAAUUCAUCUGCAUACAGACAGAGCAAAGACAGUGUCAAAAAAAGGCUGAAAGCAAUCAUAACUCUCUCUCUCAGCUUGUUUUUCACUAUGUGACUCGCGUGGAUUACCGCGCCCCGGGCACUCAUUUCAUUUCCAUGAACGCCACACACUGAAGGUAUUGUGCAAUUAACCAAAUGACCCUUUAAUCACGUCAUCUUGCUGUUUGCAUAUCACAGACCGAAACAGGGAAGUCUGAUCGCUCAUUUCAGCCAAUCCCCCAAAGCAAAAAUAUAAUGGAAACCUAAUGGAGUGGCUUAAAUGUCCUUAUAUUCCAACCCCUGCACAUUGAACAGAGGCGGCUCCUAAACGAGAGAUAUGAUCACUGUGGACAAAACUCAAAACACCUCGCUGAGAACAUUUCACGGCUGUAAUUGAAUCCUCACGUUGCAUUUUUUGUUGUGCAUGCGUGCUAGUUAAACAACGGCAAUGGGUACAAGUCGAUGAAGGCGUGGCGCCACGUUUGUGUGCGCGGCGUCCUAAAGUCGGUCAUUUAUUUUCAUUAAGUGCCGUCAGUAUGGACCAUUAACCAGGCAGGAGAAUAAUCACCUCCCCGGAGAGAUGACCCGUUUGCUGCACAGGUAUAGGUUAAUAGAUAACACCCACCUUGGUGACACAACCCUCACACAGACACACGUUUUCAUCUCUUUGCGUGGUCCACGCCAAAAACAAAAAUACACUUCCCUAAAACGGGAAAACAAUCAUGACCAUUGGUUUCCCGUCUACAUGUGUUAUGAUAUGAUUGAUGUUGGAAGCACUUUGGUGGGAAGAUUUUGCCCGGCAGGCAAAUUAAAUAAACUAAGUUCCGACCAAUUAAAUGUUCUGCAGCAAAAGCAAUAUGAUCACAGCUCAAUUCUCUGAAGUGCUUAAAUAUUGCAUGGCCCUCUUUUCUUCAUAAUGUAUGAAGGAGGUCAAGGCCAGACCGCCCACUUGAGAUGAAUACUGGAUUCACAGCUUUGUGUUCGGCUGACUUAUGAAUGUUGUUGACUGCUCCAAAGAAGUGAAGCUAUAAAGCUCACAAAAAUAAAACGUAAAAAUACAUAUUAUAGCAUUGACGUUGUAGAGAAAGUUUUAAUAUGUUGUACUCUUACGCAGACAAAAAGUACAAUACCACUGUGUGGCAUGGCAUCAAAGUACCAAAAGUAAAAUACAUUAAUUACACCAGAUGGCACAUAUUAGUAUUAUCAGGUUACGUUAUUGAUGAAUUCAUGUUUUCAUUACUUCAAUGUUGCAGCGUAACGGUGGAGCUCAUAAGAAUUCAUUUGUAUGCGUCUGAGUAACUUUAGGAUUUCCUCCAGGGAUCAAUAGUCUUAUCUUAUUGUAUAAUAACACAUCAUUAUAUAUGUGCUAAUUAAGUUUUUGUAUUAUUGAUCAGAAUCUGUGGCAUAACUCCUAACUAAAGCUGUCAGAAAAAUAAAGUGUGUGUGCGUGCCUCGAAGAUGUAAUGGCAUGGAAAUAUAAAGCAGCAGGAAUACACAGGUAGACCCUUGAGAUGUACUUAGUUUCCUUUCACCACUUCCAGUAGCAGUUUACAGCUGCUUCCUGUAUGCUCUUACCAAGAAGCACAUAGUUAUCCUGUAUAUAUGGAGGGGGAUAUUUCUCUCUGCAGAUAGGAGUUAACUGAAAACAAAAACAAAAACAAAAAGAGAAAAACAUCAAAACCUCCCAAUUUCCAGCUUUGAGAAAGUGGACUAUCAUAACGCCUGUUCACACUGGGAUCGUUGUGUGUCCCUGCUGACAGCACGCACGGCAUCAUCACCACGCAGGGACGGUUCGAUGCAAGUGCACCGUUAUCAGCUUGUGGGUGUCACGCGGGGACUAAGCGAUCAUCACAAACGGGCUAUCAUCGUAGCCAAUCAGCUGGUGUUGCGUCGGAGGAGUUACGAAUAAUAGCCCUGCUUCAUGGCUGGGGUCGUGGCAGCAAAUGAAAUCCAGUGUAGACUGGAUUAGGAGGAUUAUGUCAGCUACUUUCUUUUUGCACCAUGUGCGUGGAUUAUCCUGUGUAUGUGACACGCUCUUCGAGUCUUGGUAAGGUUUGAAAAAAAGGAUUGUGAAUUAUAAGGGGUCUAAAUCUGCUCCCAUCUGCCAUAUGGAGGCUGUGUCUAUCCAUUAUCCAUCAACGUGUCAACUGCUGUGCAAGGGAGCAGCUGUCCAUAGAAGGCCAGCCAAUUGCUUUGAUACAGGUGAAAAGUGAUGUAUGAUUGCCUUAGCAAACCUAUCACUCUCGGGCUGCCAGGUGGCUCGGGCCUGGGGACACUGCUACCGUAUUAAGACCUUGAUUUCUUCACUCUCUAAGGGUUUCACCCCGGUGUUACUAUCCUGGGUCUGGCCUGCUUGCUGUUGAUGGGUGACCCUUCCCUGGCCUCACUCGUUAUUUGAGCAAACUAAUAAAAGAUGCUUACGAGGCAGCAACUUGAAGUUUGUGGUGUUCUGUACAUGGUCGAUGGCGGGACGGAAAUGCUAUUAUUACUGUUUGGGGGGAUGGCUAAGAAGAGCUGAGACUGCUGGAGGAGAAAGUCAACUAAAAAUGGAAAAACUCUUUUGGACCUCAUGGGGCGGUGGAGAGGUGAGGAUUGCAGUGCUGCUGGUUGGUACUCUAAAGGAAGUGAAACUGAAUCCAGGGAACACCGUUUGAAUAAAACAUCCACACGUCCGAAGAUUCAUCAGGCAACAACUCACUGAAAAGUGGGUUAUGAAACAGAAGGGGUUCCGCCCCGACUAAAGGGUUACAUGCCGAUGGGUCAUGUCUUGCCUAAUGUCAAAUCAGUGGAAUCUAGUUCUGCCUUGGCUCAUUUAUCACUUUGUUCAGUUGAUUUAGAGAAAAUUAAUAAAUCCAAAACAUACAAAAACAUUGGCCCUUCUUACACAAGAAGCUGUUUGUUAUGUGUGACGCUUGCUUUCCAUAAUUAGAAGUAUCUAUUAUCUGUCAUCGCGUACGGGAGGAUCCAACCUGACAUUGGACAAAAUAUCAAAUGUUCUGUUGGAAGUAAUGUUUUCUAUGAGUUUUCUGUGUAAAUAUUUUUUGAAACAGCUGCCUUCUGUUGAUGAUAUUUAGUCUCUCUGAGGCCAUUGCCAAGAUGCUGCUCUUUAUAGUAACACAAUUGUGAAUAAUCUGAUAUUUAAACUAUUUCAGUCCAAUAGGAAGAAUUUCUCACCUACCGUUCAUACCAGUGUUGCGCCAUAAGAUCUGACGUUGCUCUUUGGCAGGCGGCAGAAAUUUACUUUUACAUCAUCAAGGAGCGCCCAGCGGUCGGAGCUACUGGUCUUACGUGUGUUGAGAUCAAGUCAUGGUUAUAACUUUAUAACAACACUGAAUAACCCACAACAAACACUCCUUAACAGGGUAAAACAUCACGACACAACAGCUUGUGAUACAUAAACAAUUUUUAACACUAAUAAUUUAUAAAAAUUAUCCCGCUGAACUGCGUGCUGGGUACAGCUCACAACAAGAAGUAACUGUGUUAACACAUGAAAACACGGAAAAGAGCGAUACAGGCGGAACAGAGACCACAGAUGCACCAACACAACUUGUGCACAAGAGGGGAGCUGUGUCUGUUUGGAGGGUAUUCAUUGCAAAGCCUGUUAAGCCUCUGGUGGCAACAAUAGCAGCCACAACAAGCUAACAUGCUAACUCGCGGGCCAGUUGCGAGCAGCUGUCCGGGUAGCCGGCGGUCCUUUUUGGGGUCAAUGAAUUAAUGUGUUUACUUAAAAAAGCAAAACUGUCACAUACCAGGAUACCGUCAGAAUCAUUCUAAAUACCCGGAUAUGGAUUUUUGGCCAUACCGCCCAGCCCUGGGCUCUAUAUAUUAUCAUUAAUUGGGAAAAUCAAGGUGUGCACUGGAGCAGCGGCUUUUAUGUAAGGUGCCACUUGCCCAUACAUACACUGAAGGCAUCCCUUGUACAAAGACACAUGGACAUGGACUGGACACUGCAGCUGGAGAUCACACCGACGAUCUUCUAAUUUUCACCGGUAAUGCAAUAAUCUAAAACAUUAAAUUGUACGUGAGAUCGUAGAAACAAGUACUGGAAGGUGUAUUUGCCUGUUUGUGAUUGGCUGUUUUGUAGCUUAUGUAGCAUUGAGGUAGAGCAAAUCCUGAGUCCGGAUCAACUUUUGAUGGACGACCCUGCCUUCAACACACUGGAGCCCUUACUGGGGCCACCUGGUUUUAACAAGAGUGAACAUUCCUAUGCAGGCCCAUUCCCCCUGGACCCUUUUCAGUGCAUUUGCGUCAUCCAUACCCCACGUGUCUGACAGAACAGAGUAUUUCUAUUUCAAUCAACACUUUUGACUUAGCACAUGCUGCAUUCUUUUUUAUUAUUAUGAAAAUAAUAACGUUGUAUCACGCUUUCAUUAUUGACAGGCCGUGAAGUGCCGAUUGUAGUAUCACAUUACCUUCAUUGGUACCUUUUUGACUGUUGCUUAGGGACUAAUUGCAGGCUGUUCAAAAUUGCAUUGAUUAGAAAUGGACUUUUCCUAAUGCUCCAUUUUCUCCUCAAUGUGGUCUAAUUAACUCAAGUUUAUUAUAAAAAAUGGAAAGGAGCCAAUCAAACUGACUGUUCAAAUCUGUGUUUUGCACAUUUGUAUGUAAACAAACCAAUGUGUUAGGACAGGAAAUGCUUGACAGACUGUAAAAGAAAAGAUGAUUAUAUUUGGGAUACUAGAGAUACUUAUUAGGGAUGGUUAGAAAUUCUGAUCAAUACUUGGUUUCUUUUUGUAAACAUCUCCUAGAAACAGCUACAACAAAUUAAAAUGUCUUCAGAAUCAUAAUUGUAUUUAUUGCCUUUAAAUACACAUUAACAAGAAUCCAACAUAUAGCGUAGCGAACGGAUAAAUUGAUGGAGAAGACGUUAUCUUUCAGUCUGCAACGCACACAUUCAGCUUCCCACAGCAGCUCUCUCAAGCUGGGCACCGGUUCAUUCACAGCAACUUUCAUGCAAAUACGACAGCACAGGCACCAGCCAAUCAGAUCGCCUUUAUGCUCACGUCUAGUGCAUUUUUUGAGCGCGAAGCUAGAAAAUAAAAGAUGGCGGACCAAACUCCGUAGAAUAGGGGGUCCCUGCUCCAUCUCGCCAUCAGUUUGGGGGUCCUUGGCCUGAAAACAUGGCAUCUGUACACAUGGCAUCCAUUGUAGUCUGUCCAUCCCGGGAGUGGGAUCCCUCGUCUAACGUUCUCCUUAAAGUUUCUUUAAAAGGUUUUUCAUUUUUUGGGGAGUAUGUCCUGUGCUGAUGUGUGGGUUUCGGGAUAGAGGAUGUCGUAUGUGUACAGCCUGUAAAGCCCUCUCAGAGUAAAAAGUAACAAACAAUUGGCAAUGUAAUGCUAUACAGUCCACGGGCUGGGUGUUGUCCCAUAAUACACAACAUAUAAUGAUGCAAUAACACAAAGAUACACUCACAAAGCUUUGUGUCCGCUUAGCAAGGUACAGCAGAGCGUGCACUUUUAGUUCCACAUGGCUAACCCCACGCACCGCCCGAAACAAGUAGAGUGAUCCGCCGAGUAAAAGCUCGAAGUACUCAGCAGUGUUACGCUCUGUAAGCUUGAUCGAAUCACACACCCGUGCCCCCAAACAUACGCUUAUCCUCAGCGCGCUGAAACAUGCUAUCAUUUUACCCCCUGUGGUUCAGAGAUGCCAUUCUUCACCUUACGGUUUGAAUUCCUCAUCUGUCUUAGAAGAACAUUAAAGCAGGCAGACCAAAGAAAUUCCUCUUUGUUGGAUUGGAUUUGUGUUUGAGAAAAAUAUACUGGCAGAGACUGCUGUGGUACUAGAAAGAUACUGCUUUUGUGUCCAAUAGCUUCUGCAGUCCUCGUCAAUUCUUUUGUUCCUUCUUUUCCAGCGUCCAGUCUUUAUCUUGGCCCAGAACUGUCAGACGGUAACUUUGGUAUUAGUGGACCUAAACCCCAUUUUGCAGUGAUUUUUUAAAUUGGUCCAGUAUCGAGAAAGAAUGCUGCAUUACAAAACGGUCAAUGACAUAAACACUAUUGGCAACUCUUCAUCAAUGUACGCCGCAUUCAAGUCCUUGUUUUUAGCCCUUCACAGCUCAAGUUGCAGUAUUAGGCAUCUGGCAACCAGAAACGUUUUAUUUACCUUUCACUUUCUGUUUGUAAUCGAGUCAGAAUUGAGUUGUUGACAGAAGUCAGGGCUCGAAACAUUAGUGGGAGUUGGAGAGAGGAGUGCUGUCGUUCUAAAAGUUUCUUGUUGUCAGAGUUCAGGAAGUGUAGCUUAGGAUUUUCUAAAAUACUUUAAUUCUCAUGGCAAUAUUAUUUCUCAAAGAAAUGGAGACAGAAUGGUUUAGACACAACAAAUAACAUGAUCAGCGAAAGGACGUUUCUUUCUUUGUAGGGUCGUCUCAAUCAUGUCUGAGCAGGUCGCUGGCACAUACAAUAUACAUUUACUAAACACAUUAAGUGUCCCUUUUGGCUUGUCUAAAUUGUUGAAUGAGAAGAGAUGGGGUUCUUAGAGACUGUCUAGGUGACCAAAACGUUUUCUUCCCCUGCUAUUCUUUCCUUCAUCAAUAAAGUGUCGCAGACGUCAGUAGCUGGAAGCUUGAGCACAUUUAUGUCCAAUGAUUGAAAAAAACAACCAUUUAAUUUGAUGAUUAGAAUAGUGAUUUUAAAUUUAGAGAUGGCAAAUGUGUGAAUAUAAUGUUGAAAAGUGUAUAUCAGAAUUACCGUACUGUUACCGUUGACUAAAAUGGCUUUGAUGCAGCCUAAGAUGGUGUGAUCGCAAGAGUUUAUACGCCCAACACUAUGUUAUCACAUCGUUCAUCGGCUAAUUUACGUCACACGGGAAUAACACUUAUCACACGUUCCCCGAUUGGUUCUGCACAUGUGCAAUUCUCAGAUGAGACUCCUUCCAUCAUUGAUUUCAGACUCAGCAAUGUUCUUCAUUCGGAAGCUGAUGAGGGACGUCACUGUGGUGGCGGAAAGUGCAGCGAGCAAAAUGUGAGCAAUUUGGCAAUAUUUUACACUGAAUAAAUUCAAUUAAAUUUAUUUUAUAGCCCAUAAUCACACAUUUUCCUCAGUAAGUCACACUGGCAUAGUCUGCACACACGCUUUUACAUUUACGCAGCCCAUCUGGAGUGUCCUCCCUCGUCCUCAUGGUUCUACUACCGGUUGUGUAAUAUAAGCUGAGUCUCAAUUUGCCAUCUGCAUACUCAUGAGGGCGCAUUCGUCGACCGCAUAAGUCACUUGGCUGCGACUCGACUGAAGUUCUUUUAAAUGUAAGUAAUAGAAUUCAACCAAAUAUCUACUGAUAGAAAUGUUAUAUUAUAAAAAGUUAAGUGACGUUGGUAAUCAAUGUCGUUAUUUUUAAAUACACAUAAGACAUGGGAGCAAACUACUAAUUUUAACUCUGAUACAUGGUGUGAAUAUAAACUAACUAUACAUUUUGUUUUGUUUUAAGUAGCCAGGGAAAAGCAGCAUGAAUCUUAGGGAGAACAAUGUGUGUGGAGACAUUCACCUACUGUAGCCUGGCCAUAUUAUAAUAUAAUAAUAUCUUAAGUUACAGUAAAUAUAGCCUAUGCAAGAAAAUAAAAAAGUCAACGUCAACGGGAGCAGCGGAGGAAAAGUGGACGCAAGCAAGAAGCCUGUCCCAUUUCAGGGGCCGCUAGGUUCAGCCAAUGCGGUCUUUGGAGGACCCAACCCAGGUUGACUGCGAAGGCUGGGUCUUCAUGAGAAUGCAGCCCAGCAAAUGAGACACAGCUACUGAAAGAGCAGACUUCAUUAUAUUGCUGCCAGCUGAGGUUGAUUAAGCCACUACCCCUUUAAACUACAACUGAGCCCUCCCACACCCCUCCACAUAUAGUUUGGAAGAAGAGAAGAACUUUGCUAAUUGUUGGAUGAGAGACAUAAACACUCCACCUAUGUGCACUUCAACCUUCACACAUACUAAAACAAAAGACCUAUUUUCAUUUUUGUUUCUUUCAGCUGUGUAAACGAGGAGCUCUGUGCCGGAGCAUGCCUGGUGACAUCUUCCAUUGAGCUCCGUUAUAGAGACUGAAACUGCGAUCACGGUCCUUUCAGAACUAACUGCACUUGCUGCCUUUGUCGCAGUAAAAGUCUUAAGUCACAAUCGCAACAGCAUGGGUCCGUAAUGUCUUUUUAAUGGCUUUUGGAAAACAGUGUUCUCCGCUACAGAAGCUACACCGCGCUACAGUUACUCAAGCAGUAUUUGUCAGCAGGACAAAUUCUUGGCUGUUUUUGCUCUCUUUGGGGGAUUUGCUAAUAACAGGAAGGAUAUAAUAAUGCUAGUUUUAUCCUCUGAGCGGAAUCACGCCGAUCUGAACAAACCAGAACAAAAUGCUAACCAUCGCAUUUGGAAAUGACCCUCACUACCGGAGAAAUGAUGACAUCUUAUUCAAGCACAUGGGAGCUGUCAAGCCUAAGGGUGUGUGACAAAGGCAAGAUGGAGGCCCAGACAAUCAAUACUUCACUCCGUAUGUAGCAAUAGGCAUUAAAUACUCCUCUUUCUGCUCCCCUAGGGAAAGAGACAACAUAUCAAUCCAAACCCAAUCACUCACGACAUAUUUGUUAACCCCGACGCUGCAUCCCAGCUGUCCAAUAAGUAUGAACUUUAAUUUAUUUUAUUCUUUUAUAGUGUAUUAUUAUAAAUAAUUAGCAUCAAUACAUUUAUAUACAUGUAUAUUUUGUUUGCGGAUGCCUGAAUGACCUUGGUGAAUGUUGGGAGUGAACAAGGGGAAUGCAGAAUGGAUUCAGCAGGGAGGAUUGUUGGCCUCCCUUCUGGACGAGUUUAUGAAAAGAUGUCUUGCAAAUGACUGUUGACAGUGCACAAGGCAUUCAUCAAGAAAACAAGCCACAUGAGCACCGAAACCAGAGUUAGGGCUGGAAUGAAUCUCAUAGAAACAAAUCUAAUCCAAGCACUGCCGGAGAAGCCAUUUAUAACGUUAAGAUCACAACAUGAACCCAGAGAGGGGACCACCAGAGGGAGGGGAGGAGAGAGAGAAAGGGAGGGAGGGAGAG